rnacentral:misc_RNA from 1 species
GGCACUGCGUAGCUCAUACCGUAUUGAGACCUU